AACAGGUGUAUGAUCUCAACACAAAUAUUGUUUCUGUAGUGGAUGAGGAAUACAUAACCCAGCGUGCAGCUAACUCCUUGGGUUCCAAGGGUAUGUUCCAGUUUAUUCAACGAAAGGGGUCUUCGAGGAAUCUUCUGGCUCUCCUUAAGCAUGAUGGUUGAGUUACUAAGGCUUGGCAGGUACUACCUCUGGUCCCUAUUCCCUAUUAAUUGACACACGAUCACUUCACUAAUCUAGGUGCGUGCACUGAACUCCUUCACGUCGAUUAAAAACGACUGGGGGGGUAGAUUCAAGUGACAGUAAUGGUAAUGGUAAUGGUUUCAAGCAGUGAUAAAUCAGUCAGAAAUCCUAUGGUUAAUCCAUCACAAAUUGGGAAGGCGGAGUCAGACAGUCAGUUAACCUCCAAUUUGGUUCUUUUCGGAUCACCGAGUGGCUUUGUGAUAGGUUUCUUUCAAAAUUAUUACAUUACCUUUGUGCACAUGUCAUUAGAAUACAACCAUAUUUAAUUAUCUUACUAUAAAUAUGAUCACCAAUGUACCCAAAACCUUUGUCAACUGUUCGUCUGACUAGAGAUAAGGUGCACUUAUCUGACAUGAGUGUAGCAUGUACAUAUUCAAUCAAAUUGCACUUUAUGUCGUAUGGUUGCUCGAAACAGAGGAGGGAUGCUCAUACAUUGAUCUUUAAGAGUGCUCUUUAUUCUGUCCUGCUGAGUUUUGAUUACGGGGUUUAGAAUUGGCUAUCCCAAAUAGCCAAUUGGUGUGAUCUCUUAUAGCAAAUGGACCAUCACCACCAAAUGGUUUGUUUGCAGGAGUAAAUAUUUGUUGUAGUUUUAAUCGAUCUACAGUUUCUAUUCUUGUUUUCUUCAAAAAAAUCCCUUAUUUAAAGUCGUUACAUGUUGGCCUUUGCUUCAUGUUGUGCAGCUAAAAAGGACACACGUAAGAUUCUAUUGUUGUUUGAUUCUAAGUCUCUAACUAUGUUGUAUAUUGAAAAAACUGAGGCUGGGACUCAUGCCAUUGGAGAAGCUAUUGCAUUGCCGUCACAAUUCGGCAUGCUGAGGAUUCAUGAGUAUGAGAAAGAGUUGGGAUUGUAUCUUUACGAGACAUAUCCAUGCGAGACUAGAUAUGAAUUCAACGAAGCUAAGCAGUUCCUUGGGUAAUAUGGGUUAGAUGAAGAUGAAUUCAUCCGUUGGGACUGAGGUCUAUGACAAUGACUUUGACGGACUGCCUAUGAAUUAUCAAGAAAGUUUUCCUUCUAUGCUAGCUACUCCGUACUUCUGAUGUUUCGUUAUGCGUAGUGAUCUCUGUGAUAAUCGUGUCACUAAAGUUUGAUGUUUCAUCUUACACUAUAUAUAUGUAAAUAAUGGAGCACCUAGCUCUGCUAUGAACUCACAUGGUACUACUCCUAUCUUAGAACCAUGUAUUUGUACCUAUAUGUAAUGUAUUUCUCCUUCUUUCGGCUCAAAUAUGUGGUGUGUUUCUC